GAUUGGCCCGCGUUGGAUUAGCUAGUUGGUGGGGUAAAGGCCUACCAAGGCGACGAUCCAUAGCUGGUCUGAGAGGAUGAUCAGCCACAUUGGGACUGAGACACGGCCCAAACUCCUACGGGAGGCAGCAGUGGGGAAUAUUGGACAAUGGGCGCAAGCCUGAUCCAGCCAUGCCGCGUGAGUGAUGAAGGCCUUAGGGUUGUAAAGCUCUUUCACCGAUGAAGAUAAUGACGGUAGUCGGAGAAGAAGCCCCGGCUAACUUCGUGCCAGCAGCCGCGGUAAUACGAAGGGGGCUGGCGUUGUUCGGAAUUACUGGGCGUAAAGCGCACGUAGGCGGAUAUUUAAGUCAGGGGUGAAAUCCCAGAGCUCAACCCUGGAACUGCCUUUGAUACUGGGUAUCUUGAGUAUGGAAGAGGUAAGUGGAAUUGCGAGUGUAGAGGUGAAAUUCGUAGAUAUUCGCAGGAACACCAGUGGCGAAGGCGGCUUACUGGUCCAUUACUGACGCUGAGGUGCGAAAGCGUGGGGAGCAAACAGGAUUAGGUACCCUGGUAGUCCACGCC
rnacentral:rRNA from 1 species